AGGGUCGUUGGAGACUACGACGUCGAUAGGCCGCAGGUGUAAAGACGGUAACGUCAAAGCCGAGCGGUACUAAUCACCCGAACCCUUUCCAAG
rnacentral:ncRNA from 1 species